AACGAACGCUGGCGGCAGGCUUAACACAUGCAAGUCGAGCGCCCCGCAAGGGGAGCGGCAGACGGGUGAGUAACGCGUGGGAACGUACCUUUUGGUUCGGAACAACUCCGGGAUACUGGAGCUAAUACCGGAUAAGCCCUAACGGGGUAAGAUUUAUCGCCGAAAGAUCGGCCCGCGUCUGAUUAGCUAGUUGGUGAGGUAACGGCUCACCAAGGCGACGAUCAGUAGCUGGUCUGAGAGGAUGAUCAGCCACACUGGGAUUGAGACACGGCCCAGACUCCUACGGGAGGCAGCAGCGGGGAAUAUUGGACAAUGGGCGCAAGCCUGAUCCAGCCAUGCCGCGUGAGUGAUGAAGGCCUUAGGGUUGUAAAGCUCUUUUGUCCGGGAAGAUAAUGACUGUACCGGAAGAAUAAGCCCCGGCUAACUUCGUG
rnacentral:rRNA from 1 species